rnacentral:lncRNA from 1 species
UUCAUUAUUGUGUAUUAUAUUCCUCGUGUGUAACUAUUUUUUAACUCUGCAUGGUUGGGAAGUGCUGUAAGUGAGCUCAGAGGCUUUCCUGGGACUGUAACGCCAUCUACUGGCUAUAACCUGCCAAUCAGUUCUGGAAGGACAAAGACACCCCUUAUUUCUGAGAAGUAUCUCUCAUGUGUCAUGUUGCUUACAAAGAGGAGGUUAGAGCUCUGGCAGAGUGGUGCCAGGGUGCAUGCUGCCUGCCCUGUAGGACAGCACUCGAUGUCAAAGGAAGGCCAAGAUGAUCAUCAAGGACCUCAGCCACCCAAGUCAUGGUCUGUUCACUCUGCUACCAUCUAGCAGACAAAGACAGUACAGCUUCUAUCUCCAGGCCAUCAGACUGUUGAAAAGCCAUCUCACCAUCUCCUGUAGUAAGAGACAAUG